rnacentral:rRNA from 1 species
UACGGAGGGGGCUAGCGUUGCUCGGAAUCACUGGGCGUAAAGGGUGCGUAGGCGGGUUAUUAAGUCAGAGGUGAAAUCCUGGAGCUCAACUCCAGAACUGCCUUUGAUACUGAUAGUCUUGAGUAUGGGAGAGGUGAGUGGAACUGCGAGUGUAGAGGUGAAAUUCGUAGAUAUUCGCAAGAACACCAGUGGCGAAGGCGGCUCACUGGCCCAUUACUGACGCUGAGGCACGAAAGCGUGGGGAGCAAACAGGG